rnacentral:lncRNA from 1 species
CCGAUUUCAAAGUUCAAGAUUUAUUAUGUUCAAAUUAAAACAUGCGGUUCACAAGUAAAAUACAGAUAAAAGUUAGAGGGUGUAAAAUAAUACCAAUUCGUACUUUGGUUCUUAAAAGUUCAAAUGGGUUGGUUUCUAACUUCCAUCUAUUUUAACUUAAAUGAACAAAGAGGGAAAAGGGUCAUACUUACAUUGAUGAAGCCCAUAUGACAAUUUGAUUGUUCACAAAAUGUAUAAACUAUUGAAAUUGCCUUGGCAAUAUAUAUAUAAAUCCUAUUAUUAUCAUUUUUAGAUCCGAUAUCCCUUCCAUGUAAAGGAAGAAAAUGCCGAAAUAAAAUUGCCUUGAAUCGUAUAACAUCGCUAGGAAGAUAAU